rnacentral:rRNA from 1 species
CACGUAGGCACCAAGCGUUGUCCGGAUUUAUUGGGCGUAAAGAGCUCGUAGGCGGUUGAGUAAGUCGGGUGUGAAAACUCUGGGCUUAACCCAGAGCCGCCACCCGAUACUGCUCUGACUUGAGUUCGGUAGGGGAGCAGGGAAUUCCUAGUGUAGCGGUGAAAUGCGCAGAUAUUAGGAGGAACACCGGUGGCGAAGGCGCUGCUCUGGGCCGAUACUGACGCUGGGGAGCGAAAGCGUGGGUAGCAAACAGG